rnacentral:tRNA from 2 species
GUGGGUACAGCUCAGGGGUAGAGCACUUGCCUAGCAUGUAUGAAGCCCUGGGUUCGAUUCCUAGUGCCCCA